CAUCCAACUCUGCACAGCCAUUAGACAAUUGAAAAUUCAUGGGAUGAUGAAGGCUGCCCAAAGUCCUUGUUUGAGCUCUGUACCUUUGUUAUUGUGGCCACACUUGCAAUGUUGAGGAAGUCAGGGAUUUGCUCCCAACUUACAUUUGGAAAGAAGAAAUACAUAUGCAUGUGUGUAUGUAGAUGAAAAAUCCUGUCAUCCUCCUAUGUUUAGAAUGUGCAUGCAUGCAUGCAUGUGUGUGUGUGUGUGUCUUUGCAUUUUCUUCUGCAUAUGGGUGGGUGUGCAUGCCUGCUUCUAACUUUAAUUGUCUUUAAUGAAUGACAGAACUGGGUGAGCAGCAAGAGGACCUCUGAACCUCUAUCGGGAGGGCAAUAACUGACUCUAAUUCAGGAUUUUAAUCAAUUGUGCCUAAAUUUAGGCUUACAAGCACUUCAGCCUUUUGACGCCACUCGUGCUAGGAGUAUGCCAUAUAGAGGAUUUAUUUAUUUAUUUAUAAUUCAAGACCAUUUUCAAUUUAUUGUAAUAAAUAUUAUAUAUUUUUUUAUUGUGUAGUAAUAUAAAAUUUGUUUAAUAUUCAGUUUUAAUUAUAUUACAACAUUUUCUGUUUCAAAUAUU